rnacentral:rRNA from 1 species
AGCUAAUAGAUACCCGGGUAGUCCACGCCCUAAACGAUGUCUACUAGUUGUUGGUGGAGUAAAAUCCAUGAGUAAACGCAGCUAAACGCGUGAAGUAGGCCGCCUGGGGAGUACGGUCGCAAGAUUAAAACUCAAAGGAAUUGACGGGGGCCCGCACAAGCGGUGGAUUAUGUGGAUUAAAUUCGAUGCAACGCGAAAAACCUUACCUGGCCUUGACAUGCCACUAACGAAGCAGAGAUGCAUUAGGUGCCCGUAAGGGAAAGUGGAUACAGGUGCUGCAUGGCUGUCGUCAGCUCGUGUCAUGAGAUGUUGGGUUAAGUCCCGCAACGAGCGCAACCCUUGCCAUUAAUUGCCAUCAUUUAGUUGGGCACUUUAAUGGGACUGCCGGUGACAAACCGGAGGAAGGUGGGGAUGACGUCAAGUCCUCAUGGCCCUUAUGGCCAGGGCUUCACACGUAAUACAAUGGUCGGUACAGAGAGUUGCCAACCCGCGAGGGGUAGCUAAUCUCAGAAAGCCGAUCGUAGUCCGGAUUGUUCUCU